UUUUCCAGCAAAACCAGCCAGCAAAAACAGGGGUUGAGCUGCCGGAGUUGCUCUUGGCUUUCCGCAGAAACCCACCCUUGGCUCCCUGCCCGCUCCCACGCACUCCUGCAUCCCCGUGCCGGGCAGCAGCCCGGGACGUCGCCCACAGCUCCCAAAGCCUUUUUGGGACAGACCCCGCGGGCUGCCCGGGGGAGCCGCAGCAGAGGGGCUGCAGAGCUCGCGUCCAGGACGGCUAAAUGGGAUUAAGGCAGUUAAACUUGCGUAGGAGGCCAUUUAGAAAAUAAAUAAGGAAGAGUGCUGAUAAAGAACUGAUUGAACAGCAAAUCUGACCAUUAUCAAGAUAUCUCUAAAAGCUGAUACCUUCCUGAAAAGAGCAUAAAAUAUGAAAAGGGAACAGCAAGUAGUUGAAUUCACAGGUUAUCCUUUAUAAACAAUUACCAUUUAUUACUAAAUGUAAAUAAAACCCCAGAAUGGCACCUAAAUAUAUGGCAAUUAGUGUGCUGUAGAGGACAAAGACUGUAAGCAGCCAAUAACAUAAACCUGACAUUUCCAGUUUCUCUGUUGCAGUAUGACAAUGCUGGAGAGUUAUGUUUAGCUAUUACUUCUCUGUGCCUGUGCGGAGUUGAUGUGCUCACAGACUGCAGCAUUACAGAGCUGCCUUCCUCUGUUUGGAAAGCAAAAGUAGCUCCUUUACAAUAUGAGUGAGAUGGCAGGAAGAGCAGCACGUGCCAGUUGUCUGUGCAACCAUGCAAGGAAAGUGCAAAUGCCUCCUCCCAGGGUUCCUUCCACGGGGGUCCUUUUGUCACGGCAUCGCUGGAGGAGGGCAGAGCCGUCACAAAUAAACUGCUUCAAAGCUGCAGAUAAAUCUUUCUGUGCACUUGCCACAGUCCGUAUACGCAGCCUGGGGGAAGGAAACAUUCACGUGAAGAUUAGCCUGGCUGUAGCUUCAAGGAGAGUGAAGCUUUCUGCCCAGAUUUUUAAAAACCUACCAGGUUUGGGGGUGAAAUUUAGCACUGCACUUUAUAAAGGCCCCAAACAAUUCCUCCUUCAAACACUAGAGGCUGUUUUCAGGCAGUGUUCCGUUUUCCCCCAUCUCAUCCCUUGUUCUAGCCUUCUGCUACCGAGGGGCUGAUUUUACAGGACCCGUGUUUUGGGGCAGGAGAGCCAAGUUCCUGAAGUACAACACAAAGUGGCAUUCCUCACGCUUGAGAUCAUGUGUCAAGCUGCUGCUUUGACACGAUCUCCUGAAGAAGUGCCAAGAAUGACAAGAGUAAAAAGAGAAAAAUCAGCAGGAAGAGAUUUUUAAAUCAAUCUUCGUUCUGAAGUUACAUAAUAGAGCAAAGUAGAAACUUUUAAGCAAAAACAAAGGACAAAGUUUUCCCCUUUCCUUCAAUGUUGUAUGAUCCAGGAUCCUUCUAGCCUUCAUUUGUUCCUACCAAGGGCCCAACAUCACCACACUUCAUCUCUUUUAAGGCCUGCAAAGCCCUUCUCGGAGCCCUUUUCCUACGCUGAUACCACUGUGAUGUCUUUCCUACAGACACUUCCACAAGUGCCCAACCAUGCAGCCCGUUACCCUGCCUUUAACACCGCAAGUGGGAUUCUUUGAUUCCUUGUUUAACAGUCCAGACAAAUACCUUGGGGUUUUGGUCCCAGCCGUCAGCCUGGCGAUGCUAGCAGGUUGGAACAAACCCCACCUUUGUGAAAUGAUGCAGCAAAUAGGGAAAAUCCCUCCUGGCCACGCUGCCCUUGCAAUGGGGGCAUUUCUGGACCCGGGCUUAAGCACCUGCCUCGUCACACUCACGUAACAGCCCCGGGCUCAGCGCGUUCACACACAAAAUCCACCACAACAGGGGUGACAGAUUUUCUGGUUUUGACCCAAGAGACAUGGCUCAGGGAUGGGCAAGUUCAGCUGGACUUUGACACCAGAGAAAUGCUUUUCAUCUAGUCUCCAGCUGGGUAGCGAGACCCUCCAGCAGGCAUUUUUUCUUUAUUACUUAACAUUACAUGCUUAUAUUUCCCACCCAGACACUGUUUUCAACACAGCCGACACUCACCCUUUUUAUGGGUAAAAUAAUCCUUUGCAACGGAUGGGGAAUCUGUUGUAGCAGCACUUCUGCCAUGUCCAGCUUCUCCUGGCUGCCCACAACCUCGCUGGUGUGGAACAAGGUUAGCGUUAGUGCAUUGCCUCUCACUGCUGGAACAAGGACAGAAGCCCUGGCACUCUUAAGGCUACGUGGUACAAAGUUAUCUCUUGCUUUACAAUAUGGCAAAAAAUGAGUUAAAAUCUGUAAUAACGCAAGGGCAAGGAAACAACUGACACAUGAAAAUACAUUUCAUACAAAGCAAAGCUAUUUUAAGAGGGGGAGGUCAGUGCAGUCAAACCUGAGCUUGGAAUCAGAUGUCCAACCAGCAAAAAAUAUAAAUUAUACAGAGAAAACUUAUAUAAGAAAAGAACACGACAAAAAAAUCACUCACUUCCACAAAAUGAUGCAACUUUAGACCGUUUUAAGUUUUCAAAGCAGCCGGCUUGUGGGAGGAUGCCAGAGAUCCCCAUGUACUUUGGAAGACACUUGGGUCCUUGGUUUGUCCCAGGAGAAUAGUAGUUUUGGGUUUUGUACAAAGGUACAACGAAUCGGAACGCCGAGGUAGCACAGCUCCUUGACACUGAAAAGAAACGUGGGAAAAAAUGAAAACUCCAGCUACAGGACUGGCAGUAACCAGCGAGUCCCAUCGAUGAGUUCCCCCAAACUCCAAAUGAGCCUCCAGGACUGACCUGGUGUCCUGGAGAAAGAAGAAGAGUGGGAGAAGGAGAUGGUAUUUUGCAGUGACUUUUUAUAUAGACUGAGCUUCAUUUCCCACAUGAAAGCCUUCUUAGAUGGUUGGAUGCCAUUUCCACGGGAAUCUGAAAAGAAAGAAAAUCGUGGUGUGAAAUUCAUUGAGUGGCUUUUUCAUAGAAAUGUGAUAAAGGAGCAAAUUAAGUUGGGAAACGUGGGACUUAAGAUACAAUCUUUUCAACUCACUUUGGGGAGGAGGACUCCUUUCCAUUUCUUUUGCUCCAAGUUUGACAGAUGUGCUUUUCUCUAGGGUAUAAAGAGUAAGUAUUGCUAGGAGCACUGUGCCUUUCUUGCACAGACCGUACAUUCCUUACUCACUUUAGCAGCACUGCAUUUUUUCUCUUUAAAAUUGCAGUAUGACUUACGCCUGACAUGUCCUGUACUAAGCUUUCACAAUAUUUUAAGCUGGUGCGUACUAAAUACUGAGCUUAUAAUAAAUACUAAACUCAGAUGAAACCACCUUUGCAUUCAGGCACAGCUCCACUCCAGACUCCGUUUGUUUUGUCCGUACUCGUACAACGGAUGCUCACAUUUCCAACGAGCAGGAAGCCAGAGUCACAGCUGUAAGUCACGGUUGAGUUAUAAGCAAAUUUUUCUACACCUUCGCCAUCAUGCUUUCCGUUGCUAAUUUGAGGAGGUGAAGAGCAGGUAAUUACUGCAGGAAAGAAGGUCAACACGAGUAUUGCUAAAAGCUUCAGUAACACUGAAAAUGCAAAAUGUUUCUUGAGUCCACCUAAGAUUCUUGAAGACAAUAAACUUUGUGGACAACUGAAGAUAGGUAACUAGCACUGCCUUCUGUCUUGACUACCUCUUUCUUGUUUCUGAAGUGUUUCUGUUGUCACAUCUUUCUCCCUCUCACUCCAAGAGUCACAAAAAAUAAACAGGCAACUUGC